CCAAUAGCGUAUAUUAAAGUUGUUGCAGUUAAAAAGCUCGUAGUUGAACCUUAGGCCCGUGCGGGAGGUCCGUCCUCAGGGCGAGCACUUCCUCGUUGCGGGUCUCACCUUCUGGCGAGCGUGGAUGCCAUUUAUUUGGUGUCCGCGGGAACCAGGACCUUUACCUUGAAAAAAUUAGAGUGCUCAAAGCGGGCUCAGACGCUUGAAUACAUUAGCAUGGAAUAAUGAAAUAGGACGAUGGUUCUAUUUUGUUGGUUUCCGGGACGGUCGUAAUGAUUAAUAGGGAUAGUUGGGGGCAUUCGUAUUCAAUUGUCAGAGGUGAAAUUCUUGGAUUUAUUGAAGACGAACUGCUGCGAAAGCAUUUGCCAAGGAUGUUUUCAUUAAUCAAGAACGAAAGUUGGGGGAUCGAAGACGAUCAGAUACCGUCGUAGUCUCAACCAUAAACUAUGCCGACUGGGAAUCGGGCGAUGUUAUUUUUUGUGACUCGCUCGGCGCCCCGAG
rnacentral:rRNA from 1 species